AGUGAACGCUGGCGGUAGGCCUAACACAUGCAAGUCGAACGGCAGCACAGUAAGAGCUUGCUCUUACGGGUGGCGAGUGGCGGACGGGUGAGGAAUACAUCGGAAUCUACUUUUUCGUGGGGGAUAACGUAGGGAAACUUACGCUAAUACCGCAUACGACCUACGGGUGAAAGCAGGGGAUCUUCGGACCUUGCGCGAUUGAAUGAGGCGAUGUCGGAUUAGCUAGUUGGCGGGGUAAAGGCCCACCAAGGCGACGAUCCGUAGCUGGUCUGAGAGGAUGAUCAGCCACACUGGAACGGAGACACGGUCCAGACUCCUACGGGAGGCAGCAGUGGGGAAUAUUGGACAAUGGGCGCAAGCCUGAUCCAGCCAUACCGCGUGAGUGAAGAAGGCCUUCGGGUUGUAAAGCCCUUUUGUUGGGAAAGAAAAGCAGCAGGUUAAUACCCCGCUGUUCUGACGGUACCCAAAGAAUAAGCACCGGCUAACUUCGUG
rnacentral:rRNA from 1 species